UUUGGGACACCCUGUAUAUAAAUUAACUUACACAAACAAAUUUAUAUUAUAUGUAUAUGUAAUAACAUAUACAUAUAUAUUAUAAGGAGUUUGCAUAUAAAUAUAUCAUUAUCAUAGUAUCAAUAUGAACAAAGAAAUAUCCAUAAUAGUAAAACAAAAGUAACAAUAUUGUCAAAUUGUCUUAAAACUUAAAAAAAGAGGGAGACUUAUAAGGGUAAAAAAUAACCUAUAUGGGUAACCGACUGAAUUUUAUUUAUAUGAAAAAGUGAAUAUACAUCAUACUUUUACAAUUAAUAUCUCGAAAAAUGCUCAUUAUGAAAACCGAAGAUGUUUCAUGUAAUUUUGCAUAUAAGCAUGCAAUUCCCAGUAAACACUGAUCCGUAACAUUUACGUGAUCAUUAUGGAACAAUGUUUCACUAUUCUCGUAAUAGUUACGUCAUUUUCCGGUUAUAAUUUGGUCAAAAUGUCAGCAUAUUUUGAUUUUAUUUCGCGCAACAAAAUAAGAAAAAAAGAGGAACAUACACAUAAUGGUUUCGUAUAAAAUAACGUUACUUUUACGUAUAAGAUGACGUCACAUUUACGUAUAAAAUAACGUUACUUUUACGUAUAAGAUGACGUCACUUUUACGUAUAACUUAACGUAAAAUGCACGUAUAAAAUUACGUACCAGAGAGAUUCUUCUUGUAACUAUAUUAUGUCGUUUUUACUGCAUCCAAUAAAAUAGUCUAGCUGGUAUAAAAUUUAUUGAAAUCAAUAAAAUUUUAUUUGAACCAGUUAAAAUCUAUUUGUAUAUAAGCCUAAAGUUUUAAUCGGUUGAUAUGUAAAUAGAUUUUACCUAGUUCAAGUAGAAUUUUAUUGAUUUCAAUAGAUUGCAUAUAUACUAACUACAAAACUAUUUUACUAAAUGCAGUAUGUAAACUAAAAGAUAAUAAUUACAAGAGGUUAUAAUCAAAAUUUCCGCAUAAUUGUAAAUUAUUUAUUAUUUAACAAAUUAUUAUUUUUAUUUUUAUUUAAUAAAAUGAUAUUUCUUCUUAUGCUUAGUAUAUAAUUAAUAAGUUAUAAUAGUAACAGAGUUAAAUCGUCUUUUCAGAAAUAAAAUGGCGCGAGAAAGAAAUAUCAUUUUGUUAAAUAAAAAUAAAUAUAAUGUUUUAUAUACUAGUAUACAUAUAUAUAAAUAAAUAUUAAAUUUAAUGAAAUGAAAGUUCUUUAAACUCUUUAUUUUGUUAAAAUGAUGAACAUAUAUAAUAUUAAUCAUAUAAUAUAUAUUUUAAAUAUAUAUAAUCGUGAAAUUCUCGCAACUAUAAAUCACAUAAGAAUCACAUUGACAGUUAUUUUAUAAAUAAUAAAAAAAAUAAAUUCGUAAAAUAACGUAAAAAAAUGUAAACUAUAAAACAAAAACUUAAAUGUUAGCUUGCUCCAUUUCCCUAGCCCUUUUUUGAUCACGUGCGAGUCUCUGUCCACCCUGAAACCAUUCUUUGGUUACAUCUUCGAAUUCUUUCAAAGUGAAUAUAUGAUUAGUUGAAAUUGUUUCUAAAACAUACAUUACGACAAUAUAAUUUUAAAAAGAAACUUUUGAAAAUGGAUAUGUCCAAGUAACAUAUAUUUUACCUUGUAUGGCCCUUAUAAUUGUUUUUUGGCCACUGAUAUUAAAGUGAUCACGUAAGCCUUUCCACGACGAUUGUUUAACUACUUCAUUGCUAAAAACUUUUCGGUAUAUUCUAAUCAAAUUUUCUUUCCUACAGCUUCCGCCUAUACGAACUAGACAAUACAGCUAGACAAACAUAAUGAGAUUAUAACAUUAAUUGCAAUAUAUAUAAUAAAUUAAAUAAAAACCACAUUUAACUUACAAAUUUGUUAUAUUCUUUCACAUUUUCUACUAAAUUAUUUUCAAAAGCCUUGACAUCAUCAAUUGUUUUAAGUGGAAGAGAACGCUCUAUAUUUGUCACAUCCAAUGCAGGGACAUCUGGAGUCUUCUUCAUUUUUUUUUCUACAGCUAAUAACACAGUUUUAUUCUCUUUAACUGUUUGUGAAUUAGAGAAGUUAUCACUUCGUAUAUUCUAUUAAAAUGCUCUAAAAAAUUAAUAAUAUUAAGAAAUCAAUACAACAAAAAUAGAAAUUACAGAAUAAAGAAAAAUAUAUAAUACCUUCCAUGCUAUUUGACAUUGAUGUCAUUUUCGUAUGUAAAUCCUGUACACCUACAAAACUAUAGAAGGACUAAAAUAAUCUUAAAAUACUUGCUAAGAAAAACUUCAAAUCUUAUUUAAAAAUAUGUAUUAUAUAAAGAUAAUACGUAUAAAUAAUAACGUCGAUUAAAUUAGAAAACUUCCUAACUCUAUUUUUGGACAAAAUUGAGAUAUUAAGUGCAUAUUAAUGUACAUAAUAUGUAUAAUAAUAUGCACAUAAUAUUUCUAUUUUAUCCAAAAAUGGAGUUAGGAGGUUUUCUAAUUUAGCCGAUAAUAAAUAUAGCAAAAAACCGUUACUUUUAUUAGAUACUAUUGAUCCGUCAAUGACCUGAAUGACUUCUUCAAUGGAUUCAAGUGGCUUGAAAGUACUUGGUUUAGUAACAGGCAUGUUAGUCAUUGUAAGAGUCGGUGGGUUUGGCAAAAUCGAUCUUGACUCAGAAUUAGAAAAUUCGGAAUAAUCGGAAUUAGAAUUAGACGGAGUUUUUUCCCGUUGGGAUUUGCUGGAUAUUCGCACAUUUCUCUUUCUUUUAUGUUGAAUAUUGUUAUCAUCGUAUGAUGAAUAAUUUGUAGAUUUUGCUCUAGCCUGUUCUAACGUAUCUUGGUUGGGAGAAAAUCAUAAUUUUCAAAUUAUUUUUCAACAAUAUUAAUAACUUAUAAAGACUAUAGAUUAAUAAUAAAAUAUAGGUUACCAUUAUAUCCAUGAAAUUCGAUAGAAUAUAGAGCCCACUUUGGGUCAUCAUCAUCAGGUAAAGUUUGUUUUAAUAUUAACGUAUUUAUAUUUUUGACCGAUGGCCACCAGCAUUUUGUUGCAUUUGAUCGAAGCCAUGAACUCGGUACCUCAGACACGAUUUCUUCUUCAUCAUCGCCAUCUUGAGUAAACGUUACUACUGCAUAUGGUUUUGUCAUUGUUGAUUUUUUCAUCUGUAAAAGUAAUAAAUAACAACUUUUGUUAAAUAAUAUUAAUUUUUUACAUUUCUAUAUAUGCUACAUCUAUAUCAGUACUCGCCAUAAAGACGUAUCUUGAUGGAGUAAAGAUAAUAUUACUGCUUCUUCUUUGCCUAAAGGCAAUUUUACACAUUUUGUUUUAAUAUCAGCCAAUGAAACAAUAACCGAUUCGUAUUGUAAUUCACUGAUUUGUUUAAUUCCAAUGCUUAAAGAAUCGCAUGGACUUUUAAAAAAUGACUUGACAUUCAAAUAUUUUUUACCCUGAACGAAAAAUCUGUUUAUUUUUUUAAUAAAUUGUUGUAAGCACAAUUGUUGUACCAUCAAGCAAAGAGCAACAAUUAUCAGCAGAUCGUGUACUAAUAUAGAAGUCCUUGCAUUGAAUUGAUUUUAUUACCUUUUCACAAUUAGCAUUUGAAGUAUUACUAAACUGUAAAAUUGGAUAAUUCUUUUCUUUGCGCGACAAGUUCAAAUUAUCUUCUUCCAUACAACGACGAAUUAACUGUUCUAAAGGUUGACUCGCAGAUUUAAUUUUUUUUUUAAUUUUUUGCAUGUAAUUUUCGUACUUAAAUGCGCUGAACUCAUCUAAUAGCCCCCAUAAGUUUACAUAGUCACAUAAAUGAAUUAAAUUAUGCACGUUAUAUAUGAGACAUGCUGAUUUCCAUAUAAUAUACCAUAAUUUUCCACAAAAUACAACAAUAAACUGCGUGCAUAAGCAAGCAGUUGUAUGCAAUAUUCUUUUGAACAUAAAAUUCGAAUGGCUACACUGAGGCUUAAGAAAUAAAUGUACUCAUCACGAGAUAAUUUGUUAUAAAAUAUUACGGGUCCGGUGUACAACAACAAUUGCCUAAAUUCGGUACCUUUAAAUCGAUCAACCUGAUCGAGUGAUCUUGAUUUCCUACAAAAUUCCUUCGGUAGAAAAGCCGAAAAUGACAGCAACAAAUUUGAAAUGUAAUCUAAUACAGUUUGCACAAAACGUACGUUCAUUUUACCCUUUAUCCAAAACUGCAACAAUUUUUUCAUUACUCCUAAUAACACAAGGUGCAUGUAGUCCAAAGGAAAUUGUGUGACCAUUCCAAUAUUUAAUUUUUCAAGACUUGAAGUGAAUUUAUGAUGCUCUUCCUGUUGUUUGAAUUUAAAAGAUUCAUCUGAUCUUAAUGUUGCAUGAAUUUUUUGAAAUGUGACUCGAUGUUUUAUGUAAUCUCCCUUUUAAAUGCAGUUACCACAUCCAAAAUGGGCAUUAUGCCCCACAAUUCCUUUGAUAAAAGAUCUUGCAGGAGUAUCGCAGAUAAAUGUAUUUACUUUUACAGUUAUUUUUUUAUUAAAUUCUAUAAUGUCUGAUUUCAAAAUUUCAAUACAAUUAUUUAUAAAAUAUUGCAUAAAAUCAUUACCGCAUUUUGGCUUUUUAUUACCGUGGUAUACACCAACUAUAAAUGGUUCGGUAAAAAUCUGCCACAAUACUAGCCAAAAUGGGCCAAAAUUGACUGCCGGAUGACUUUGUUAACGGAAGACCAUCUACGUUCACGUUAAUCUUUAUUUGUGAUGGACAAGAAUCUCAUAAAUAAUGCUUACGAACAGACUUUUUUAAACUUUCACGUAAACCUGCAUGAUAAUGCCCUGGUUCCAUUUGAAAAAUAUCCACCUGUUUAGGAGUUCAAAGCAAAGUUCUAGCAUCAACUGGUAGGUCAUGGCCGUAUUUCACGAGAAUUUUCAAUAAACCACUUAAAGCAAAAUGGCUCAAAGAAUUCUCAAUGGCCCAUUUUCGAAUCUCGUCUAAAAUAUCAGUUUUACAAAAAAAAUCUUUAUCAGAAUUGCUUGACGAAAAAUUAUUUUCAUUGGCACUAACUCUCGAACAUAUAGAAAUUAAAUCAUCAUUUACAUUGAAAUCGUCAAUGUCAACUUCCCUUACAUCACUUUGCUGCUGAGGUAAUUGCUCGAUGUUGUCUGGUACAUUAGUUUGACGUACAAUAUCAUUUUCAACUCUUAGAGAAUUUAUAUUAUUAGGCUGAUUACGAAUAUUAUUGAGUUCUGUUAAAAAAUUACGUCGCUGUUGCCUUGAUGUUAAAUAAGGAAUAUCUAGUUUUAGUUUCGUUCUAGGCAUAUUUAAAUUUAAUAUAUAGUAGGAAAUAGUAAAUAUGUUAUAGACUGAUAUUAAAAUUACGUGUUCCCAAUUAAUUGCUCUCAAUGACAAAGUAAUCCAUCUUAAUAUAAAAUGUUUCAAAAUAUCUGCAAAUAACAUUUAAAAAAAUGAUGCAGAUAAAUUGAAUUAAAAUGAUGAAAAUUAAUAUUAAUACAUUAAGCAUUAUAAUUGAGCAAAUGUUUAAGUGAUUUCGACUUUCUCGAGACCAAUUUUUGGAAAAAUUUUCUUUCAGUAAAAAUAAAAAAUAAUUUGGUCAAAUCUUAAAUUCUUAGAUUAAUAAUUCUUUGUAUUUAUUAUGUAUCGUCACACAUUAAGCCAGAUAUACUUGUAACCAUAAAUCUAAAAAAAAGUAACAAUAAAUACCAUAAAUCUAAUAAAAACAUAAACAAUCGCACUUACCAUAUACGAUAGUAAACAAGCCAGCGGAGAAGAGAUCACAAUUCGUAACACUUCAAUGAACAAAAUGUUGAAAAUUGGGCUAAUAUAAUCUGAAUCGAUCAGAAAUGGGAAUGAUUCAAUUCACCACACUAGAUAGAUAAGAAUACGAAAAGUGCAGAAUGAUUCGCGGAUCAGACGCUUCGCCUGUUACGUUAAUUCAUUGCCGGUCAGACCAUGGACAUAGGAAUAUAGGGACGGAAUAUAACAUUAUAGGGCAGAAGCCAUUGAGAGGAAACUGACUGUGCCUACUUUUGAUUGGUUAUUAUUUGGCGCAAGCGCAGCGUUAAAAAUAUGAAUGUAACACAACGUGACAUUUAAAAAAUAAAUAAAAGAUAAAUAGGUUAAUUACGUUGUGUCAGGGUUUUACAUUAUAACAAAUACUUUUUGUAAGUGAAAAAUGGUACAGUGCUUUGUUCAGUCGUGUAAAAACAGAUCUGAUUUUCAAAAUUGGAAAAAAAGAAAUAAUACUAUAAAUGAUAAUAUAAAAAUAACAUUUCACAGGUAUUAAAUUAUUCAUUACGUUAAACAUUAAAAUAUUAUAUUUUUUAUUUUAAAAAUAUAAUUUGUUAAAAAUAAUAUGGUUCUUUUUUAGUUUUCCCAAAAAUUCUACUACUCGCAAGUUAUGGUUGGAUAUUUUGGGAAUGAGUUCAUCAUUUAUCCCAACUACAGCUCGUAUUUGUUCUAUUCAUUUUAAAGAAGAAUCUUUUAAUAGAACAUGUUCAAUAACUCGACUUAGGCCAAAUGCAUUGCCUAGUCGAUCAUCUUCGGAAUCUACUGUUGAACAAUUUAUUAAUGAAAACGUUGAAACGGUAUCACAAGAAAUAAAUUAUUCGCCAAUAGUUCCAACAGAAUCAAUAGAUGUAAUCAAUGGAUCCUUAUCACCCAUAACAAAUAUUUGUUCACCACAAUCGGUAUCUAAAGUGGAUAAAACAACAAUGGUAUCACCUACACGAGUCUAUAAUUCUCCAGAAAAAUCUAGAUUACGAAAAAGAAUUAAAUUCUUGGAAAUACAACAUGCAAAAAAAAUGCGAUUUGCGCAACAAAAAAUACGACGGUAUAAGAAUCAAGUGAUCACACUCAAAGAAAUUUUAAACAAAUUAAAGAAUAAUCAAUUGUUGAAUGAAACACAAAUUGACAUCAUACAUAUGUUAGGUAAACCAAUAGGUGAGAUUUUUAAGCGAUUAAUUAUGCGAAAGAAAAAUGCAUGCGUACCUAAACAAUAUUCGCCGGAAAUACGUUCAUUUGCACUAACGCUACAUUAUUACUCUGCACGAGCUUAUGAAUAUGUGCGUGAUUACUUUAAUAAGUGUUUACCACAUGUAAAAACUCUUUCUUCUUGGUACAGAAGUGUUAAUGGAGAACCUGGUAUUAGUUCAGAAGCGUUAUAUUCUAUCACUGAACGUGUAAAAAAAUCAAAUUAUACAUUAUUUGGUUCUUUACUAUUUGAUGAAAUGGCAAUUCGAGAACAUUUAGAAUAUGAUGGUUCAAAAUUUAGCGGUUACAUUGAUUUGGGAGAAAACAUUGCUUGUGAUGAUACUAUCUUAGCAAAUCAAGUUUUAGUUUUUAUGAUUGUUUGCAUAAAUGGUGCAUGGAAAAUUCCAAUUUCAUAUUACUUGAUAAAAGGAAUGUCUGCAGAUGAGAAAACUCGUUUGGUAACAGAAUGCUUAAAAGCUGUGCAUGAAACUGGCUUAAAAAUAAUAUCUUUGACUUGUGAUGGAACAUCUACAAACUUUUCUGUUUUUAAAAAUCUCGGGUGCAAUUUUGAUGAUAUAACUUCGUUGCAGACAUCGUUUUCUCACCCUGUUACAAAUGAAAAAAUAGUAGCUUUUUUCGACCCCAGUCAUAUGCUAAAACUAGUGCGAAAUACUUUUGGAGAUUUGCAAUAUUUUAUUGAUGGGGAUAAUCAACCAAUACGAUGGUUAUACUUAAAUAAUCUUCAUGAAUUACAACAACUGGAAGACUGCUGUUAAAAAAUGAUUAUUGCAUAAAAUGUCUGAUCAUCAGUAUUACUGUGAUAGUAUCGCAAAUGAAAUUAGGAUUGAUAUUCAGGAUACCGAAAAUUUGUCUGAUAAUUUCGAAAAUGAUAGAGAAAGAAAUGGCGAUGACUUUCUGAUAGAGUUAUAUAGAGAAAAACCGUAUUUAUAUAAUAAGAGAAAUAAUAAUUUUAAGGAUACAUUAAAAUAAAACGCAUGGAACGAAAUUUCUAAAACGAUAAUUGAGACAAAUUGUGGUGAUUUUUACACUCCAGAAUAUUAUCAAAGAAGGUGUAUUUCAUUAAGAGAACAAUUUAAUCGCGAAAAAAAGACAAGAAAAUGAAUCCAGAAGUGCUGCUUCAAAUUCCAAAUCACGUCCAUUUGCAUUAUAUUCCAAAUUGACAUUUUUGGACCAAGUCAUAAAAAGACGAAGAAGUUAUACUAAUGUACAAAAAUUACAAUCAGAUGCAACAUUAGUUAACGAAAGUGUAUUAGGAAGUGAAGUUCCAGAUGUUAGCACUUGUUCAAAUAAUAAAGAAAGUGAAGGCGAAAAGAAUCAAGAGAAUGUCGAUAUAAGAAAUUUGCACAAGUUACAAUAUGUUCUCCACGUCGCAAGAAAGGAAAAAUAAAUGAAACUAAAUCAUUAGACAAAACCAGAACAAACAUUUAUGAAUAUGAGCAGCAGAAUUGUGAAUUACAUGGAAAAUUCAAAACCACACACAGCAGAUGAAGCAUUUAUACAAUUUAUAAAAGCACAGUUAGAUAAUGUCCCGGAACACGAAAAAAAUAUUAGAAGAAAAAUGAUUAUGGAUGCUACAUUUGUAUCAUUGUCAAACAUAUAAUCUUUUUAUGUAUUUUAUUAUCCAUUUAAUGUUUGAAACAUGUUAAAUACUUUAUUGUUUAUUUAACAUAUAUAUAUAUAUAUAUAUAAUUUUUAUUUUAUAAUUUAAUUUUUAUACUGUGAUAAUUAGUUACAACAAAGAUAUAGUUUAUUUAUUUAUCACAGUGCUCAUUGCGUACCUAAGUAGCGAGGUCUUAAUAAUAUCUUAUUGAUGUAUUAGAAAGGUUUACUUUAUAAUUUAAUUUUUUAUACUGUGAUAAUAAGUUACAACAAAGACUUAAUGUAUUUUUUCUCACAGUGCUCAUUGCGUCCUUAAGUAGCAAAAAAGUUUUAUGACAUUUUAUUAAUGAUAGAAAGAUUAAUAAGACGUUAUUUAAGCAUUUGACGUCAUAUUGCUGUGCUAUUACAAAUAUUUUACAUUUUAUUAAUUUAUUAUAAUUAUUAUUAUUAUAUUUGGAUAAAUUUAUUUCACUACAUGAGAGAGAUUUGUCUAUUGCAUAUAUUUUUAUUUUUGCAUAUUCCUUUUAUUUUAUGUUAUUUUACCAUGUUGUAUACUAUAUCUCAUAUACUUAAAUACAAUAAGCAUAAACCAAUGCAGUAUAUUUGCAAUAUUUUUUUUAUAGAUUAAAUUCAAAACAUUGUAAACGCAACCAUUUAUGGCAGUGUUACGUCCGGCCGAUUUUUCGCGCCGGCCGUCACGAUCUAAGCAAGGAUCGCGCCUUACGAUGACGCGUUGCCGUGGUAACGGAGUGCGAACGGAUUCACGCGCUCUCGGUGCCGGGGACUGGUGGAUCACGCGCUGCGAGCAUGCGGUCCGCUCUGGCGGCGCGCAUGCGUUAAUUAAAAAUAUCAUUUAUUAGAGAACCGAAUUAGAUAUCGAAAAAUUUCCAAAAGAGGAGUGAUCCUUCCCCUAGCCGGCUUCCCGAAAGCUGAGGCGCCUCGGCUUCGAAUCAUUGAUAGUAAUCGCGCAAAUUAACUAAUUAAUUUAAUUUAUUAAUUACUUUUUGGAGAGGAGGAAAGCCUACGCUCUCGCCGGCGCCGGUGAAUCCGCACUCGCGCGGGAUCAUUUGGGAUAGGGCAGUAAGGGCCAAACACCCUUAAUUAAUUAACAAACGGAGUAAAUGAGUUUCGAACACGAGGAGGAGCACCCUGUACCUCCGUGGUACUGGAAUCUCCUAUCCUCAACUCCGUUAUGAAAAAUUCAAAUUAACUCACUUACGGAAUACGGCAAUUAAAAGGAGUGGGCGAUAGUUGCGCGCCCCACGACUAAAAAAUGUGAAUAAGAGGGCAAAACUUUAUCUGGCGACCAUAAAAUAACAAACGAUAAUUAAUUAGUCAUCAAAUUAGAUGACAGAUGUUAGAUGAAUUAUUGCUCCUUUUUCCGCGCUCUUCACCCCCGAACGCCCUCACUUGCAGGUAUAUAAGCCGCGAUUUUCGGGCAAAAUUAGAGAUUUUGCCUCCUUGUCUCGCGCCGAAAGGUCGUAAAACGCGUUCCGUACUGACUCUCAUACUUAUAAAAUUUCGCGAUUUUUCUCGUCCGAACUUAGAAUAUUUUUCGCGAUUUUUGAAUCCUAACUUAGAAUAUUUUCGUAAUUUCCGUAUUCGAACUUAGAAUAUUUUUCGCGAUUUGAAUUCAAAUUUGAACUUAACACCUUUUGUCGCGAUUUAAGACUUACAAUUUAAACUUGGAAUAUUGCGCGGUACUAAGAGAGACUCGAGGUGGCAAUUUCUCCCUUACGUUAUUAAUUAGUUUUUUUUAUAAUUAUAAAACGCGACUAGCGAUCACAGCGAGCGUCUUGCGUGCGAACCGAAUAAGUGUGAAGCCGGAAAAUUGUGAAGGUGCGAGUUCUCUUUUUUUUACAAAAUUUUUCGUUUAUUAAAAUUAGUGUAAUUAAGAUCGAGAUCUUUUUUUUUCUUUCCACGUUGCUGAAGUGCGAGUGCGGGACAAAUCGGUGGUGCUUCGAUCACUCUUAAUACUUUCCAUUUAUAGACGGUGAAAGUGGUGAACCACGGCUCAGAGCUGCAGUUCCGUAAGGAGUGCAACGGCCCUCGUCACCCGCUGGGUGAGCGCGUUUCAGCGUUCCCUCACGGCACGCGGGAGGAUCGUGCGCUUUGCUUCUCUCUCUCUCUCUCUCUCUUUGUCGCAACCUCCCAUCCUUUCGAGGACGACCAGCCAACGGUGCGGGAAGGUGUGCGCUGAGAAGGGUACGUCCUUCCCCGUCAACCGCCCUUGCGAAGUCGUAAGACUUUAGCGUAGAUGCGGGGCUACCGGCGCGCUAUAUGCGUUCCGCCAUUCUUGACAGCACCGGAGCGGACACCAACGACGGUGCCGUUACUAAACCAGGCGCCUCCACCCAAAUUUAUAGUGUGGGGUACGCGUCCUUUGAUCCUCUCGAUCCACGCCGUCAGGCAAUCCAGCGGCCUCCGCAUAAUAAUAAUAACGAUGAUCUUCGCGCGAAGCACGACCGAACAAAUCGCUCGGUGACUUAACAUAGUAGUUUCCCACCUUGCGUAUUACCUUGAUUGUCAAUUAAAAUAAGAGAACUCAAGAAACGGUAUUUCUUGUUACAGGACAAGAAGAUCAAUUAAUAAAGAUACGAUUAAUUAAAAUCCACAUAACCAUGCUAGCACCCCUAACACUCUCUGUUUCCGCUCGGUAGAGGAGAGUAACUUAAUAGAACAAUACGAAAAAUAAUAUUUCACGAUCCUUGUCCUGCCGGAUGUAGCAGCAGUAAUUGCAAACUUUUCUUUUCCAUUAAAGUAUAUGGCUAAUGUAUUGAAAUUGUUCUAAAUAAAAAUAAAUAAUUAAACUUU